UAUUAUUUAGUGUAAGGUACACGUAAACCUUUGAAGUUUAAGUAAUAAGUUCAAUUCUUAUAAUAAUAAA
rnacentral:tRNA from 1 species